UUCCGGUUGAUCCCGCCGGAGGUCACUGCUAUCGGGGUUCGAUUAAGCCAUGCGAGUCGAGAGGGUUCGGCCCUCGGCGUACUGCUCAGUAACACGUGGAUAACCUGCCCUAGGGAAGGGGAUAACCCCGGGAAACUGGGGAUAAUACCCUAUAGGUUACAGAUGCUGGAAUGCCCUGUAACCCAAAGUUCCGACGCCCUAGGAUGGAUCUGCGGCCGAUUAGGUUGUUGUUGGGGUAAUGGCCCAACAAGCCCGUAAUCGGUACGGGUUGUGGGAGCAAGAGCCCGGAGUUGGAUUCUGAGACACGAAUCCAGGCCCUACGGGGCGCAGCAGGCGCGAAAACUUUACAAUGCGGGCAACCGUGAUAAGGGAACCUCGAGUGCCUGUAAAUGCAGGCUGUUCAGGUGCCUAAAACACACCUGAAGAAAGGGCCGGGCAAGACCGGUGCCAGCCGCCGCGGUAAUACCGGCGGCUCGAGUGGUGGCCGCUUUUAUUGGGCUUAAAGCGUUCGUAGCUGGGUUGUUAAGUCUCUUGGGAAAUCUGGCGGCUUAACCGUCAGGCGUCUAAGGGAUACUGGCAAUCUUGGAACCGGGAGAGGUGAGGGGUACUUCGGGGGUAGGAGUGAAAUCCUGUAAUCCUCGAGGGACCACCUGUGGCGAAGGCGCCUCACCAGAACGGCUUCGACAGUGAGGGACGAAAGCUGGGGGAGCAAACCGGAUUAGAUACCCGGGUAGUCCCAGCCGUAAACUAUGCUCGCUAGGUGUCAGGCAUGGCGCGACCGUGUCUGGUGCCGCAGGGAAGCCGUGAAGCGAGCCACCUGGGAAGUACGGCCGCAAGGCUGAAACUUAAAGGAAUUGGCGGGGGAGCACAACAACGGGUGGAGCCUGCGGUUUAAUUGGACUCAACGCCGGACAACUCACCGGGGACGACAGCAAUAUGUAGGCCAGGCUGAAGACCUUGCCUGAAUCGCUGAGAGGUGGUGCAUGGCC
rnacentral:rRNA from 1 species